rnacentral:lncRNA from 1 species
UCCAUCUUUAAUUUUCCAGGAGCCAUUUCCUCAUCAUAAAGAUGCAGUAGCCAUAAUUAUUCCAAUCAUCCAAAAGAGAAGACUUUAAAGUACAGUAGUUAGCCAUCAAAAAGAGAAGGCUAAUAUCCAGUUAUGAGAGCAUUUUCCCAAGAUUUACUUGUCCUUUUUUAUGGUGAGACAUUUAAAAUUUAUACUGUUAUUAUUUUGAAAUACUGUAUACAAGACAUUCUUCUUGACUAUAGUCAUCCCGCUAUGCAAUAGAUCUCAAGGCCCAUUUCUCCUGCCUAUCUGAAACUAUGUAACUCAUUUUCCUUCUGUUUUUGCA